UACGGAGGGGGCGAGCGGUGUCCGGAUUUAUUGGGCGUAAAGAGCGUGUAGGCGGCCGAGCAGGUCCGUUGUGAAACCUGAAGGCUCAACCUUCAGAGGUCGAUGGAAACCGUUCGGCUAGAGUCCGGAAGAGGAGAGUGGAAUUCCUGGUGUAGCGGUGAAAUGCGCAGAUAUCAGGAAGAACACCCGUGGCGAAAGCGGCUCUCUGGGACGGUACUGACGCUGAGACGCGAAAGCGUGGGGAGCGAACAGG
rnacentral:rRNA from 1 species